AUCUUUACCUGGCAGGGGAGAUACCGUCGUCGUGACGGUGGUGUUUCCAGGGCGAGGCUUAUCCAUUGCACGACCAGUAGGCUGACCUCUGCGGUUUACCCAACUGCGGGAAACUCACCUACAUCAUUUGUGGUGGGGCACCGUGUCCACACUUAA